UUAUAUUGUAUGUCAGUUCUGUCUUUAAAUGAACUGUUAUAUUGUAUGUCAGUUCUAUUUUUAAAUCGUUAUAUUGCUAGCAGUUCUAUUUUAAUGGUAAUAUUAUUUCAUAUCAGUUGUGCUUGACUGCACGUCAUAUUUUAUGUCAGUACUGUGUAAUGGUCAUAUCUCGUGCCACUCCUGUUUAGUGGUUAUAUGUUAUGUCAGUAUUGUGUAAUGGUCAUAUAUCGUGCCUCUCCUGUUUAGUGAUUAUAUUUAUGUCAGUACUGUGUAAUGGUCAUAUCUCGUGCCUCUCCUGUUUAGUGGUUAUAUUUAUG
rnacentral:lncRNA from 1 species